CCAAUGUGGAUACCCUCCAGAGGUCACUCUCCCUCGGGCUCUGUCCAAGGGGCAUAGAGGAGCACAAGGCUCUACCCCAUGAUGUACAGUCCUGUCCACGAUGUUGGAGAGAAAGUUGGGCCUUGAGUCUGCGCCUGCAUAUUCCUACAGCUUUUGAGAGUCCUGUGGACAAUGACUGAGAAGACAAACUGAAGGAAUCAUCU